GCCAGCAUGGCAUAGUGGUCUGAGCAUUGAACUAUGGUUUUGGAGACGAGGGUUCGAAUCCCUGCUCAGCCA